GAUGAACGCUGGCGGCGUGCCUAAUACAUGCAAGUCGAGCGAACGGACGAGAAGCUUGCUUCUCUGAUGUUAGCGGCGGACGGGUGAGUAACACGUGGAUAACCUACCUAUAAGACUGGGAUAACUUCGGGAAACCGGAGCUAAUACCGGAUGAUAUUUUGAACCGCAUGGUUCAAAAGUGAAAGACGGUCUUGCUGUCACUUAUAGAUGGAUCCGCGCUGCAUUAGCUAGUUGGUAAGGUAACGGCUUACCAAGGCAACGAUGCAUAGCCGACCUGAGAGGGUGAUCGCACACCCUGGAACUGAGACACGGCCCAGACUCCUACGGGAGGCAGCAGUAGGGAAUCUUCCGCAAUGGGCGAAAGCCUGACGGAGCAACGCCGCGUGAGUGAUGAAGGUCUUCGGAUCGUAAAACUCUGUUAUUCGGGAAGAACAUAUGUGUAAGUAACUGUGCACAUCUUGACGGUACCUAAUCAGAAAGCCACGGCUAACUACGUG
rnacentral:rRNA from 1 species